rnacentral:tRNA from 1 species
AAAUAAGAAAUAAUUUAUUAUAUUUAGUUUCGACCUAAAAUUUUGGUUUUAUAACCCUUAUUUU